rnacentral:rRNA from 1 species
AUUGAACGCUGGCGGCAUGCCUUACACAUGCAAGUCGAACGGCAGCGGGGACUUCGGUCCGCCGGCGAGUGGCGAACGGGUGAGUAAUGUAUCGGAACGUACCAUUGAGUGGGGGAUAACGUAGCGAAAGUUACGCUAAUACCGCAUAUUCUCUCCGGAGGAAAGCAGGGGACCGCAAGGCCUUGCGCUCUUUGAGCGGCCGAUAUCAGAUUAGCUAGUUGGUGAGGUAAAGGCUCACCAAGGCGACGAUCUGUAGCGGGUCUGAGAGGAUGUGCCGCCCCACUGGAACUGAGACACGGGCCAGACUCAUACGGGAGGAAGCAGUGGGGAAUGUUGGACAAUGGGGGCAACCCUGAUCCAGCCAUGCCGCGGGCGGUAAGAAGGCCUUCGGGUUGUAAAGCUCUUUCAGCCGGGAAAAAAUCGCAUGGGCUAAUACCCUGUGUGGAUGAUGGUACCGGAAUAAGAAGCACCGGCUAACUACGUGCCAGCAGCCGCCGUAAUAC